CCCAAUUACACCCUGAGGAGCAGCACCUCAGCAGGGCGGCCUCAUGUCCUGGAGGAGGAGGAGGAGGAUGGAGCUUGGAGAAGGCAGCUUGAGGGGAAUCUGGGAAUGUUUCCUUUAGAACAAGCCCCUGAAACUCCCUGUGCGGGUUCCCCUGGAAAAGGGGACCUGCAGGAGCACAAGGACAGCCAGGCAGCUGGAUUUCUGUGGAUCACACAGCUCCCCUCUUUAAGUAGAUGAAAAGGCCUAAUUGGUUUCCCUGGAAGAGAACAGAGCUCAACAACAAUUUGCUUUUCCCGUUUUAUUCAGGAGAACCCGAUCCAAACGUUACAAGAGCACUUUCAGUCCCUGUUUAUUCUCCUCAUAAACAAGCCCAGUGCUGCUGCUCUGUCAGGCUCACUCCAGUGACACCAUGGUAACACUGCUGUGACACUGCAAUAGAACUGAAAUGGCACCACAGUGUCACCACAGUGCCACCACAGUGCCACCACAGUGCCACCUCGUCCCUCCCCGCUGCUGAGCCCAGGAGUGUCACUCCCAGUGACGCUCAGCAAUAACGGGAUUUUCCUACACACAACAUUGUUUUAUUGCAGUGUUUAUUCUCCCCCUCUCCAUCCCCUCAGCACCGCUCUGGUGGGGGCUGCUUCUGACUGCUCCUGCUUCUGACUGCUCCUGGUUCUGCUCCCAGCUCCAGAUCCUGACAGCUCCAGGAGGCUGCUGCAGCCCCACAUCAAAAGCCAGCCCAGGAGCUGGGGAUGAGCUGGGGAAGGCCCAGCAGAGCAGGAACAAAGCCACCAGCCGUUGCUGUCCUCGGGGCUCCUCAGAACUCUGGAUGUUCAGCAUUUCUGAGUGCAGGAUUUUAAAGGAAUGUUGACACACACCAUGUUCUCCUUCAUCCACCACGAUGCUCUUUGAGGUGAAAAUCUGCCUGCUGGGACCUGUGGAACCUCCAGGGAAUGCAGAGGUUGUUGUGGAGCUGCACAGCUGUGAGUCUCUUACAGGAGCUCAUCCCACCUUUGUCUCUGGGCACAGCCUUACAGCAAGAAAAUGAUUCAUCUGUCACACAGGAGACCAGAAGAAAAUAGAGCUCAUCCCACCUUUGUCUCUGGGCACAUCCCUACAGGAGGAAAAUGAUUCAUCUACACGCAGGAGACCAGGAGAAAACAGGGGCUGUGCCAGUUCACAUUUUCAGCAGUGGGCUGAGGUCUGUGUCAGGGUGACACACGGUGCUGGCAGGCAGGUACAGAGCCCUUGGGCAUUCUCAACAUUACUCUCCUAAGGUGACAAAAACAUUGCUUGAUUUGGCAUAAAAAGCCUCUCAGAGUUGUGGGAGGUGAAGUGCUAUUCCCACAGGCAGGCUUUAAAAGCCCGAGGUACUUCCCCAUUGUCCACUUGCUUCCCCUGUAAAACACCAUUUAUUUAUUCUCAUUUCCAUUUAUUCCAAGUGCAGCUUCCCCAGCUCGUGGGUGGAGUUGUCAAGCUGCAUCCUCGAUGGGCACAGAUAAAUCACUUUUACUGCCCCUUCCCUGCUGCUGGCACUCACGCUGCCGUUGGAAUUCCAAACACAUUCCGUGAAAUUCUGUGCUGCUCUGCCAGCACGGAGCAGGGGGAGUUCCAGCUCCUGCUUCCCUUCACAACAAAUCCACCCUCAGCCGGCUCGGGCUGGAACAGAAACCCUGUCAUUAUCAAUAAUGCCCUUUCAGAUAAGCCCACAGGCACUUGUUUUCCUGUCUCACUGUAAGGCAGUUUUUGGGGGGAGCAGAUAAAGCAGGGCACAAAGGGAAGGGAUUCCUCAGAUGGGAUAAGUGAGAUAACUUCCUGGGCCUGAUGGUUUUCUAUUAUUUGUGACUCCCUGGGUGAUUUCUUGGCGUGUAAAAGGGAAUAAAAGCUGGCAUCAGUCAUCAGAGUGGAAGUGCAGUGGGGCAAGGCUUCUCUGCACUUCUGUACACCCAUACAUCCAGGACAGUGUGCAGACUUCAAGGUUCAUAUUUCCAGAGAGUAUCCUGCUGGAAAUGUGUGUCAAAAAGACAAAUCAGAGCUUCUACAGCCUCUGUCUAUUGCUAGAGCAAGCUGUCAGGUUGCAGGCAGACAAACCUGCUUUCCUUGCAUUCCUGGAGCUGCUCCUGUGAAACCUCCCAGCCCUGCAGCCUGCAGGUGACACGGGGAGGGAAAACAACCCAGGCAGGCAAUAACUGGGGAUUUUUACCUCCUCCCUGCUGGAAAAGAGUCUGGAGAGCCAGCCCUGAGUUUGUGCCCAGGGGCUGCCAAGGCUGGGGCUCCAGGACCUGGCAGGGAUCACCCCCAGGACCAUGGAAUGCUUUGGGUGGGA